AGGACGAACGCUAGCGGCAGGCCUAAUACAUGCAAGCCGAACGGUAAUCCUGACGGCAACGUCAGGACUAGAGUGGCGUAAGGGUGCGUAACACGUAUGCAAUCUGCCCUCAACUGGGGGAUAGCUCCCGGAAACGGGAAUUAAUACCCCAUAACAUGCCAGCGAGGCAUCUUGCUGGCAUUAAAGCUACGGCGGUUGAGGAUGAGCAUGCGUCUGAUUAGCUAGUUGGUGAGGUAACGGCUCACCAAGGCGAUGAUCAGUAGGGGAGCUGAGAGGUUGAUCCCCCACACUGGCACUGAGACACGGGCCAGACUCCUACGGGAGGCAGCAGUAGGGAAUAUUGGACAAUGGGUGCGAGCCUGAUCCAGCCAUGCCGCGUGCAGGAAGAAGGCCUUCUGGGUUGUAAACUGCUUUUAUCUGGGAAUAAAAAACCCGUGCGCGGGGAACUGAAGGUACCAGAUGAAUAAGCCACGGCUAACUACGUGCCAGCAGCCGCGGUAAUACGUAGGUGGCGAGCGUUGUCCGGAUUCAUUGGGUUUAAAGGGUGCGUAGGCGGCUGAUUAAGUCAGUGCUGAAAGCCCCCGGCUUAACCGGGGAGGUGGCAUUGAUACUGGUCGGCUUGAGUGCUGUCGAGGCAGGCGGAAUUGACGGUGUAGCGGUGAAAUGCUUAGAUAUCGUCAGGAACACCGAUAGUGAAGACAGCUUGCCAGAGAGCAACUGACGCUGAGGCACGAAAGUGUGGGGAGCAAACAGGAUUAGAUACCCUGGUAGUCCACACUGUAAACGAUGAUGACUCGCUGUUGGCGAUAUACGGUCAGCGGCCAAGAGAAAUCGUUAAGUCAUCCACCUGGGGAGUACGCCGGCAACGGUG
rnacentral:rRNA from 1 species